CAUAUAUGAUAUAUGGACAUACGUACAUUCAAACAUAUAACACAAAACACAAGUGUGCACACAUAAUAUAAUACAUACAACACAUAACAUAAUAGUAAAGGCCUUAUAACUUUUUACAGGUGAAAUCUCCAUUGCAAUGUUUAAAAACUCUAUAGUCAAAAAAAUAGAACUGAUCAGCAAAACAUUAACCUAGGUCUGUAUGAGCUCAAAAAACAAAAUAGAACUUCAUGAUAUGGCAAAGGGCAAUAAUAAAAUAGAUAUUGAAAAAAGCAUCCUGGUU
rnacentral:lncRNA from 1 species